UGUCGCACGGCGCCCCCUGGCGGGCUCAUGACGCACACCUCCUUCCCGCGUGAAGGCGCGGGGCAUUAUGGGAAAUGGAACAAAUUAAUUGAAGGAGACAGACCAGGCUGACAUCAUUGAAGGGAGCUGACACAUCCACCUGCUGCCAGAGCAGAGCCAGCCCUGCUGCCUCGGGAAUCCUUUCUACUGCCUUCUGCAGGCCUUGGACUGGACCUGAAGUGGGACUCUGAAAAGGGACUCCUGCAAUUCAAGGGUGAGGACAUUAGUCCAGAGCACCGGACUGCUCUGGAAGUUCCCUUCCUAUCAAUUAAUUAUAAGGAGGUGCUAGCCUUCCCAGAAGAUACCCAUUGCCAAUUCAUCAUCUUCUCUGUCCCUCUUAGCCCUCCUAGACCAAACCACA
rnacentral:lncRNA from 1 species